GUCUAUCUGUAAACUGCCGUGGUAAUACACUGAGUGUACAAAACAUUAAGAACACCUGUUCUUCCAUGACAUAGACCAGUGGUUCUCAACUCCGGUCCUCGAGUAUCCCCCACAGUACACAUUUUUAUUGUAGCCCCGGACAAGCACACCUGAUUCAAUUUGACAACUAAUCAUCAGGCCCUCAACGAGUUGAAUCAGGUACGUUUGUCCGGGGCUACAACACAGAUGUGUGCUUUUGGGGUUACUCAAGGACUGGAGUUAGGAACCACUGACAUAGACUGCCCAGACUACAGCAUUGAAACCUGCAGGGGAACCACAUCUCAGUAGUACCAGAGGUGUUACCAAGGAACCUGCAACAGAAGGGGUAUUUGCAACACCAGCAGGUGUCUCUCAAACAAAAUUGUGAUGAACAGGACUUCAGGAAUCCCCCUGUCUCUGAGGGGUAGGAGACUGAAUACAUUAAUGGAUGUGUGGUCAAUCCAAAAAACGAUUCCCCCACUCACAUAUUCCUUGACACUGGGGCUGAGGACAGAGAGGAAUUGUAUGGAGUAUACGGUUUGCCACCACCAGAGCUUUGUUUCCUCAAUGUGGCUGACAAUAAGGUGCCCCCCUACUGCUGACUUACUUCCUCCAGGAAAGGCUGGGUAUUAGAAUUAGGUAAAAAUGAAAAUUCCAAAGGUGCCUUUAUUGAUGCUCCUUGACGCUGCUGGCUCUCUGGAGGUGAAAGAUGUUGAAGAUCACACUAUACAAUAGUCAUCAGAUGACCCUUCCAAAAUGAGGAGUCAUUCUUUUGUGGUGGCUGCUGAGGGAAGAACUUUUCAUAACAGUGGCGGUCAGUGCUGUUUAUGAUGAGGGAGGAAUUUAUUAAUUUUUUUCCUUCGUGAGCAUGUCCUCUAUUACAGCGUGUUGGAUGACUGUCAUUCAUAUUGUAUUCACCCAGUUCAAUGUAACAUUGAUGGUUUAGGCUAUUACAUGAUUCUCAAAUUUUCCCUAUACCCACCAUGAUGUUGCUACAACCUAGUUUAUGUCAUUUAAGAUUAGACAGUGACACAUUCAAUACUGCCUUGCCUGCAUCGCUUAUCUAGUGUGUAAUUAUUAGUACAACAGUUACAAACAUGUUUCUAUUGGCCAAAUCCUAGUGUUUUCUUUAUUUUUAUCCUAAUUUUGUUUGCUUCCGUUUUAAGAAAUGUUUUUCAACAGAAUCGUCGGAAUGAAUAAACCCCUGAUCACAAAUAAACAAAGUUCAGCCUCAUUGUAUUCCUUCUC
rnacentral:lncRNA from 8 species